AGAGUUUGAUCAUGGCUCAGAGCGAACGCNGGCGGCAGGCNUAACACNUGCAAGUCGAGCGGCCGUAGCAAUACGGCAGCGGCAGACGGGAGAGUAACACGUGGGAACGCGNCCUUNNGGUUNGGAAUAACGCAGGGAAACUUGCGCUAAUACNGGAUACGCCCUUAUGGGGAAAGAUUUAUCGCCGAAGGAACGGCCCGCGUCCGAUUAGCUAGUUGGUGAGGUAAUGGCUCACCAAGGCGACGAUCGGUAGCUGGUCUGAGAGGAUGACCAGCCUCACUGGGACUGAGACACGGCCCAGACUCCUACGGGAGGCAGCAGUGGGGAAUAUUGGACAAUGGGCGCAAGCCUGAUCCAGCCAUGCCGCGUGGAUGAUGAAGGCCCUAGGGUUGUAAAGUCCUUUUAACGGGGAAGAUAAUGACGGUACCCGUAGAAUAAGCCCCGGCUAACUACGUGCCAGCAGCCGCGGUAAUACGAAGGGGGCUAGCGUUGCUCGGAAUUACUGGGCGUAAAGCGCACGUAGGCGGCUUUCUAAGUCGGGGGUGAAAUCCUGGAGCUCAACUCCAGAACUGCCUUCGAUACUGGAGAGCUUGAGUUCGGGAGAGGUGAGUGGAACUGCGAGUGUAGAGGUGAAAUUCGUAGAUAUUCGCAAGAACACCAGUGGCGAAGGCGGCUCACUGGCCCGAUACUGACGCUGAGGUGCGAAAGCGUGAGGAGCAAACAGGAUUAGAUACCCUGGUAGUCCACGCUGUAAACGAUGGAUGCUAGCCGUUGGCGAGCUUGCUCGUCAGUGGCGCAGCUAACGCUUUAAGCAUCCCGCCUGGGGAGUACGGUCGCAAGAUUAAAACUCAAAUGAAUUGACGG
rnacentral:rRNA from 1 species